rnacentral:tRNA from 1 species
GGCAAUAGCUCAGUUGGUAGAGCAUCAGCUUCCCAAGCUGAGGGUCGCGAGUUCGAGCCUCGUUUUCC